CUACGUGCCAGCAGCCGCGGUAAUACGGAAGGUCCAGGCGUUAUCCGGAUUUAUUGGGUUUAAAGGGAGCGUAGGCUGGAGAUUAAGUGUGUUGUGAAAUGUAGACGCUCAACGUCUGAAUUGCAGCGCAUACUGGUUUCCUUGAGUACGCACAACGUUGGCGGAAUUCGUCGUGUAGCGGUGAAAUGCUUAGAUAUGACGAAGAACUCCGAUUGCGAAGGCAGCUGACGGGAGCGCAACUGACGCUUAAGCUCGAAGGUGCGGGUAUCAAACAGGAUUAGAUACCCUGGUAGUCCGCACAGUAAACGAUGGAUGCCCGCUGUUGGUACCUGGUAUCAGCGGCUAAGCGAAAGCAUUAAGCAUCCCACCUGGGGAGUACGCCGGCAACGGUGAAACUCAAAGGAAUUGACGGGGGCCCGCACAAGCGGUGGAGCAUGUGGUUUAAUUCGAAGCAACGCGAAGAACCUUACCAGGUCUUGACAUCCCUCUGACCGCUCUAGAGAUAGAGUUUUC
rnacentral:rRNA from 1 species